rnacentral:rRNA from 1 species
UACAGAGGUCCCAAGCGUUGUUCGGAUUCAUUGGGCGUAAAGGGUGCGUAGGCGGUUCGUCGCGUCGGCUGUGAAAUCCCGAGGCUCAACCUCGGGUCUGCAGUCGAUACGGGCGGACUGGAGUUCGGCAGGGGAGACUGGAAUUCCUGGUGUAGCGGUGAAAUGCGCAGAUAUCAGGAGGAACACCGGUGGCGAAGGCGGGUCUCUGGGCCGAUACUGACGCUGAGGAGCGAAAGCGUGGGGAGCGAACAGG